CGCCAGCGACAAGCAGCUGCUCCUACAGGAGGAGCACACCACCUUAGUGCCCUGGAGUGGCUGCCGGAAGAAGGAGGGAAGACGAGGAAACAGCUGCCCUAAAGUUCAAUGAACUCGGCUCCCUCUUGAACGGAAAACCACAGAGCCGAGGCAAUUGCCCAGUAGCAAACUUUCUUUGAACACAGCUUGGCUGUUGGAGAGUGUGGUUCUGCAAGAAGGGUGUAGGAGAGACAACGCAGCUGCCCCUGGGCCACCAACCACCCUCAGUCACUCCCAGGCCUCUCAUCUCUGUGGGCCCCAGCAUCCUCAACAAACCAGGAAAAUGGGACACUGGUAAAGGGCAGGGAGUGAGCUGCCAUCUCAGCCAUCACUGCCCUCCCUUGGAUCCCAGCCCUGUCUGUCCCCUAUCUCUUUAUUAGACACCCUGCUAAAUAUCGAGUCUGAUCACACUAUGUUCCUGCUUAAAGGCAGUAGAAACGACAGCUCCGAAGUGUCACUCCAGUUCCUCUAGAUUGGUUGGUCCUGUCCCAGCCGACCCCAGGUUACCUUGCACCUCCAGGCCUUUUGUACAAGCUGUUCCAGAGUUCCAUUGCCUGUCUCUGUGGUCAACUGAUAAAUUCAGGUUCAGCCCUUAGAACCUCAAGCCAGCAUCACCUCCUCCCAGAGGCCCUCCUCUAGUCUAUACCCUACUCCUCCACAAACUUGGAGAUGGUCCUGUCUUCCCCUUCUACCUGUACUCCGAACUCCCUGGAGGAGGAGCCAUGGGUUGACACGCAGCCAGGGCCGGUAAGUGUCUUCUUGGUGCUCCCCGCCUUUUCUCACACUGGAGAAGGGACUGAUGUGGCCUGAGGCCAGAGGCUGGGGCAGGGGAAUAAAAUAUAGAUAACUUAUUCCUUGACCUAUUCAUUUCUUUGUGUAAUCUGAGUUCCCAUUGAGGGAAGGGGUGGUGCCAGUCUUAGCCGCUCUGGACACCUAAAAGGUACUCCAGGAUUCUCAGAGGCCUUUGCCUGGGAUGAGGCAGGGAUGUUGCCAAAGCGGACUUCCAGUAUAGGCUGACUUCCAGCAAGGCAGAGACAGUCAGGUUUGCUGAACCAGGACAAUCAGCGAGCUCUCUGUGGGCAGCAAGCUCCAUCAACUCAGUCAGCAAAAGUGGAGUAAGGAAGUAGAGACUGGUGAGGUACCUGGCGGUGUCAUGGUACCUGCCAGGAGUUCUUAGUAUGUUUUCCCCUGCCCCUGCCAUCAUUAAUGAGGUGGCUGUCCUUGGGCCCACAUCAUGGAGCAGGUGACCACUCUUCUGCUGGGUCAGGAUGACAUGAGAUCCCUAAGUUGUGACAUCACUCAGGCAUCUGGCCUUGGGUCUGUGCUUGCGAGUGGAGGACCACAGUAGCAGCAGAUCUGGUUCCUGGGUUCCCUUCUCAACAAGCAGAGUGCACACCAGAUGUGGGCAUUCCUGUUGGGUGGGGCCAGAAACCAGGUUCAGAUACAGGUGGGCUCAGACUGUGAGAUGUAGCCUCAGCCCAGAUGUGGUCUCACACUUUUUACCUGGAACACACCAAUUCAGCCAGGCUAGCUGGGUGAUCCAGGCCAUCUGCCUGUCCCUCUCAUCCCAGUGCUGAGACUACAAGCGUAUGCCACCAUGACUAGCUUUUUCAGGUGGGUUCUGGAAUUCAAACUCAGGUCUUCACACUUUCCCAGCAGGUACAAUACCCACUAGACCAUCUCCUCAGCCCGAAGACUGCUCUUGAAGGCUCCAUGGUGUCAGAUUCCCUGAGGACCGGCUAUCCACGCUUGAGUAUAAAAGCUGGCCUUGUCCCCACAAGCCUGGCGUGACCUAUGGCUGUUCUGGCCACCCACGAGGGUUGCAGCCUGAGUAGACAGAAGUCCAAAAGUCAAGAGGCCAGGCUUGACCCUGGGGAGGACAGCUGGCUCCUGUGGAGAAAACUUCCCUGGACCUGGAGGAAGUCAGCCCAGGCCUGGCUAGGCAGGCAAGUGGCUCAAGGGUAGGCCCAAGCCCUGGGUUCCUUGGUCUGCAGCUGUUCCUGGGACCACCCCAUGAGAUAGAGCUACUGAGCCCCCCAGAGACCUGCAAGGAGCCAAGACUAGGGAAGGGGGGCUUUCUCAGCAGGAUUUUUGGUUAUAUGUGUGAGUGAGUGAGUGUUCAACAGGGAGGGGGCCUGCCCCAGUUCUGAGCCUGGAAUUUAUACAGCCCCUCGUUGGCAGCUGUAGUUUAUCUUGACUGAAAGAAUAAUAAACUUGUUUGACAGGAUGAUGUAUUCAAAGCAUCCGCCAUCACAGUGCAGAGCACUGCCUGCUGUCAGGAUGUCUGGCAUGGUGGGGACCAUCUUAUCAAGUGUUUGGCCCCCAGGAGUGGACAGUGCUCGCCACCUAGGUUAUAAGCUAAAUGCUGUGGCCGCACGACCAGGUGAACACUUUGAAAACCUACAAGCAGAAGAUGAGCUCAAGAGAUCUCUCCAACCAAAGUUUCCCUGAGCGUCAGGCACCAGAGCACUGGUUUCCUCUCAGCCUGUCAGGUACUGAGAAGUCCUUUCUCUUGUUUCACCCUGAACUCCAUUCCUUCUUGCACAUCUUCCAUUACAAGUCUCUCCCAAGCCCCCUCCUUUUCUGGCUCCAUGGUCCUGACUUUCUCUCUGAAGCUAAGGCCUCCUGCAAAAGCAACUCUAGGACUCCUCCUGCUUAGUGAAUGAGAUCACUGGUCCUUCUGCUAAAAAACCGGGGCAGUGCUCCUAGAAACAGCUGGUCAUAGCCCGUGGGGACCGUAGAGAUGGUAGCACAGAACACUGACCAAACAGCUGGUUCCACUCCAGAACUCAAUAUGGAAUCUCACAGAGUCUCGUUUUAUCUCCCAUUUUACAGAUCCAGACACUGAGGCUGUAGUUGGCGCAGGAUCAAGUGGUUUCCCAAGUUGUACUUCUUCCAUCUGCAAAGAAAGACAAGAAAAGCCCCACCCAGAGCUCUCAGGAGCCAAGGCCUCCUGGAGGGAGCAAGGGAGCAUGGGAAGGAGCUGAGGCCAGGCUUCUGGCAAGGAACUCAGGUCUGAACACAGACGUAGUGAGCUGGGGAACCUGGGCUGGGCACAGCAGACAAUGGGUCCCGCAAGCCUUGCUUCUCAUCCACUUUUUUCUCUGCUCCCCCUUCAUUCCUUCUGUUGUUUGUCUAGGAGCCAAGCCCUUUGGAGUCCGGCAUCAGCACUGUCCCUCUACACUUCCUCUUUCCUUCCUGGGUCCUCAGUGCCUGCUGUGUGCCAGGCCCUGGGCCCACCAUUGUCCCGGUCUCCAUGGUCCCUGGAGAGGGCAGAAAUGGGCAGAAACUUGGUGGCAUGUAUUCACAGAGUCAGUCCACAUCCCAAAGUCUCCCAUAGUAGGUGCCAGAACCACAGAGAUGACCAAGCUAUACACUGCCUGCAGCCAGUUCAGGCUAGCUGAGGACAUAAGUGGGAACUCUUACUUCCAAGCCCCAACAGCUGUGAGAAUGGGAACAGGAAGUGG
rnacentral:lncRNA from 1 species